UGAGUUGAAACAUAGGUUCCCGUACGAUCACCGACGUUAAGCAACGUCGAGCCUGCUCAGCACCUAAAUGGGUGACAGCUUGGGAACAUCAGGAGCUGUAA